CAGCCGCCGCGGUAAUACGAAGGGGGCUAGCGUUGUUCGGAUUUACUGGGCGUAAAGCGCACGUAGGCGGACUUUUAAGUCAGGGGUGAAAUCCCGGGGCUCAACCCCGGAACUGCCUUUGAUACUGGGAGUCUUGAGUUCGAGAGAGGUGAGUGGAAUUGCGAGUGUAGAGGUGAAAUUCGUAGAUAUUCGCAGGAACACCAGUGGCGAAGGCGGCUCACUGGCUCGAUACUGACGCUGAGGUGCGAAAGCGUGGGGAGCAAACAGGAUUAGAUACCCCGGUAGUCCCUGUCUCUUAUAA
rnacentral:rRNA from 1 species